rnacentral:rRNA from 1 species
AACGAACGCUGGCGGCAUGCCUAACACAUGCAAGUCGAACGAGACCUUCGGGUCUAGUGGCGCACGGGUGCGUAACGCGUGGGAAUCUGCCCUUGGGUUCGGAAUAACAGUUAGAAAUGACUGCUAAUACCGGAUAAUGUCUUCGGACCAAAGAUUUAUCGCCCAGGGAUGAGCCCGCGUAGGAUUAGCUAGUUGGUGAGGUAAAGGCUCACCAAGGCGACGAUCCUUAGCUGGUCUGAGAGGAUGAUCAGCCACACUGGGACUGAGACACGGCCUAGACUCCUACGGGAGGCAGCAGUGGGGAAUAUUGGACAAUGGGCGAAAGCCUGAUCCAGCAAUGCCGCGUGAGUGAUGAAGGCCUUAGGGUUGUAAAGCUCUUUUACCCGGGUAUGAUAAUAGACAGUACCGGGAGAAUAAGCCCCGGCUAACUCCGUGCCAG